AGAGUUUGAUCCUGGCUCAGGAUGAACGCUAGCGGCAGGCUUAAUACAUGCAAGUCGUGGGGCAGCACAGGUAGCAAUACUGGGUGGCGACCGGCAAACGGGUGCGGAACACGUACGCAACCUUCCUUUAAGCGGGGAAUAGCCCAGGGAAACUUGGAUUAAUACCCCAUAAGAAUGUGGACCGGCAUCGGUCAGCAUUU
rnacentral:rRNA from 1 species